UACGGAGGGUGCAAGCGUUGAUCGGAAUUACUGGGCGUAAAGCGCGCGUAGGCGGGUGUGUAAGUCAGAUGUGAAAGCCCCGGGCUUAACCUGGGAACUGCAUUUGAUACUGUCUGACUCGAGUAUGGUAGAGGGGGGUGGAAUUCCCGGAGUAGCGGUGAAAUGCGUAGAUAUCGGGAGGAACACCAGUGGCGAAGGCGGCCCCCUGGACCAAUACUGACGCUGAGGUGCGAAAGCGUGGGGAGCAAACAGG
rnacentral:rRNA from 1 species